GCGGGUGUAGCUCAGGGGUAGAGCACAACCUUGCCAAGGUUGGGGUCGUGGGUUCGAAUCCCAUCACCCGCU
rfam:Gluconobacter morbifer G707 75_5, whole genome shotgun sequence.